GAUGAACGCUAGCUACAGGCUUAACACAUGCAAGUUGAGGGGAAACGACAUCGAAAGCUUGCUUUUGAUGGGCGUCGACCGGCGCACGGGUGAGUAACGCGUAUCCAACCUGCCCACCACUUGGGGAUAACCUUGCGAAAGUAAGACUAAUACCCAAUGACGUCUCUAGAAGACAUCUGAAAGAGAUUAAAGAUUUAUCGGUGAUGGAUGGGGAUGCGUCUGAUUAGCUUGUUGGCGGGGUAACGGCCCACCAAGGCGACGAUCAGUAGGGGUUCUGAGAGGAAGGUCCCCCACAUUGGAACUGAGACACGGUCCAAACUCCUACGGGAGGCAGCAGUGAGGAAUAUUGGUCAAUGGGCGAGAGCCUGAACCAGCCAAGUAGCGUGCAGGAUGACGGCCCUAUGGGUUGUAAACUGCUUUUAUAAGGGAAUAAAGUAAGUCUCGUGAGACUUUUUGCAUGUACCUUAUGAAUAGGGACCGGCUAAUUCCGUGCCAGCAGCCGCCGUAA
rnacentral:rRNA from 1 species